UACGUAGGGUGCGAGCGUUAAUCGGAAUUACUGGGCGUAAAGCGUGCGCAGGCGGUUUUGUAAGCCAGAUGUGAAAUCCCCGGGCUUAACCUGGGAAUGGCAUUUGGGACUGCAAGGCUGGAGUGCGGCAGAGGAGACUGGAAUUCCUGGUGUAGCAGUGAAAUGCGUAGAUAUCAGGAGGAACACCGAUGGCGAAGGCAGGUCUCUGGGCAACAACUGACGCUGAGGAGCGAAAGCGUGGGGAGCGAACAGG
rnacentral:rRNA from 1 species